UUCAUUCAACGCCUGAACACUGACUGGCUUGAGUCUCAUUCCUUCCUGUGCACUCUCACUAAUAUCGAAUCAGCUCGGUGUCUUCGUAAUUUAUGGCACAAAGGACACCUGUACAGGAGUGCUGCAAUUGGAAACCACUGCUACUCACAACACAUCAGCACUGCACAGUGUUACGCAGCAGCUUCUGUACCUACGUACUUCAAUACCACUGUACAAGCUGAAGAGUAAGCUGUGCAGACUUCGUUUGAUGAUACAGAUAUGCAAGAAAAAAGUCUCAAGAGCAGAACAUGUACAGGGAUGGACAUGCAACACCUCGUUCUCGGCCUGCAGAAUUCCCUCCAACAAGCCAAAUUCCAGUAAAAACAUAAUACUCCAUCGUUCCUGUGAUGGGGGCUGAAGAGCCCUCGAGCUGUCGUAAGUCAAUCAACAGCAAACAUGGCUGCCUACUUUGGCCGCUGUGGAUUUCGAACAAUGGAACCGCAACGCGGUUUGGGACGUGAAAGGGCUUGUUGGAAUCAUGUGACCUUGUCUGACGUCUCCGAGAUCCACUUGCUACGCUACCACAGACUGUCAAGUGCUGGGAUUCGUAUAGCCUGUGCGUCGUGUUGGCUCCCGCUUUGUGGCGACCAACUGCUCGGUGCCACGCUAUUCGCGGGGACGUG